AUCUACACUGGUCAGAAUGGCCUAAUGAACUGAGGAAAACCAAUGUUCAUCAAUGGAGACAUGAAAAAUGAAUUGAACUACAUCUCCCAGUAUUCCAAACAUUAUCAAUCUACUUCUGCAAAGAUGAACCACUACUUGCCAACCCUCUCAACCGCCCUCAAGACAGAGCACAAGCUGAGACCCUGGGAAACCAGGGUUAUAUGGCC